rnacentral:tmRNA from 1 species
GGGGGCGUACUUGGUUUCGACGGGGGUGAGUUGCGUCUGAGAAGCGAGUCGAGGGAACCUGUGGGCCCGCGUUAAAAAACUAUGGGAUUAAAUUUAAACGCAAACGAUAAUUUAGCUUUAGCAGCUUAGUUCUGCUACGUCCGUCCUUUGAGUCCCGCGGCUUAGGAAUGGGCGUCGACAGCGGGGUACCGAGUCUAACAAAGCUUUGAGUUAGAAACGGAAUUUAUGAAGCUACUGAAAUCGGUAUCCUGUCAGCGGGAGACCGAUAGAGGGAAAAGGGACCGGGACGCAUAUCGAAAAAUAUGUGCCACCAGCCUGUAAGUACACUGAAUGCGCUCGGAGAAACUCGGAUUGUCUGACUUUCGGACAGGGGUUCAAUACCCCUCGCCUCCACCA